CCCACCUAUCCCUCUCUCCAUCUCUUUCUCCCUCCCACCCUUGGCCGCCGCCUCACGCCCGCCCUUCCCGGCGUCGGGGCGGAGCCGGCGGCGGCAGCAGCGCGCAUGGGCCCCGCCGCCCGUCCCUGAGCCCGAGCGGGGGGCGUGUGCCGGACGCGGAACCCCCUCGGCAGGCCCUCGCCAGUCCCUUCCCGGCGGCUCCUCCUCACCUGCGGCGGCCGCGGCCAUGGCGCUGCGGGCGGCGGGACGGGGCUGCUGAGCGGCGGUCGGGGCGCGGCCCCGCGGCGUCGGAGCGAGGCUUGUGCGUGGGCUGUGUGCCUGUCGCCACGCUGUACUCCCAGCAGAUACGGUUUUCCUUCUGCCACUGUGUUUUUCGGGAUGCUGUUUCUGCCAUUGUUCUGGAAAACUUGCCCAGGUUGCCUGGAUGAGACUGGAGGCUUAUGAUUAAAGGGAGCAUCUCUGCAUUAGUGCAUGAUCAGCAUAAUUUUAAUACAGAAUGUAAAUCCUCCAAAAUGUAUCUCCUUUUGAGAGUGCGGCUGACUUCCUCAUGUUCUCACCAGUUGGAAGAAGUGAAAGUUGUAUCUUGAAGAAGAUUCAUCUGGAGUAACCCUUGUUUGAUUUAAAAUUGCUCCACUUUGCAGAAACUUCUCAUUCAACUGAUGAGCUCUUUGAGAGCAGGUGAAAUUCUCUCUGAAAAGACAGAAUUUUAUGUUUCCUCAUGGGAAUGAUUUCGUAUAUCAUGCCCGAGGCUUGACACAUCACCCUGAUUUUUCUGCAGAAGGCCAUACCAUCACUAUAUAUUUCAGCUGUGCAUUAAGCUUGUUUUGUUCUUGUAAAAUCCAGGAGGAAACAGAAGACCAGAACAGGCAUGUCGUUUUAUUAAACCUUUAGUAUGAGUGAGUAGGAGUUGGUCUCAUUUUUUCCGGUAAUGCCAAGGAUUUCAAAUUGAGAACAGUUUAAGCUGAAUUGAAGAUUAGUAGCUGGGUCAGGAUGUAUGUGGAUAACAAUGUAUCCUUUCAGAGAGAAGCAAACAGAUGUCCAAGCAAAAAUAAUAAAAAAAUAGAUUAAAAAUGACCUUUCCUC
rnacentral:lncRNA from 1 species